GCCAUCCUUUAAAGAAAGCGUAAUAGCUCACUGGUCUAGAUAAGCCGGCCUGCGCCGAAGAUGUACCGGGGCUCAAGCCGCCCGCCGAAGCUGAGGAUUCAGUUGGUUCUGCCAACUGUCUGGUAGCGGAGCGUUCCGUAAGCCUGUGAAGGGGUUCCCGUGAGGGGUCCUGGAGGUAUCGGAAGUGAGAAUGCUGACAUGAGUAGCGACAAAGAGUGUGAGAAACACUCUCGCCGUAAGUCCAAGGGUUCCUGCGCAAGGCUAAUCCGCGCAGGGUGAGUCGGCCCCUAAGACGAGGGUGAAAGCCGUAGUCGAUGGGAAUCAGGUUAAUAUUCCUGAACCUGGUGGUAGUGACGGAUGCCGGAAGUUGUCUCCUCUUAUCGGAUUGAGGGGGCAGCCUGGGCAUUCCAGGAAAUAGCUCCACCGUUAAGACCGUACCCGAAACCGACACAGGUGGACUGGUAGAGAAUACCAAGGCGCUUGAGAGAACGAUGUUGAAGGAACUCGGCAAAAUACCUCCGUAAGUUCGCGAGAAGGAGGCCCAGUUUCUACGCAAGUAUUGGCUGGGGGCACAAACCAGGGGGUGGCGACUGUUUACUAAAAACACAGGGCUCUGCGAAGUCGCAAGACGACGUAUAGGGUCUGACGCCUGCCCGGUGCCUGAAGGUUAAAAGGAGGGGUGAGAGCUCUGAAUUGAAGCCCAGGUAAACGGCGGCCGUAACUAUAACGGUCCUAAGGUAGCGAA
rnacentral:rRNA from 1 species